AACGAACGCUGGCGGCAUGCCUAACACAUGCAAGUCGAACGAGACCUUCGGGUCUAGUGGCGCACGGGUGCGUAACGCGUGGGAACCUGCCCUUAGGUUCGGAAUAACUCCCCGAAAGGGGUGCUAAUACCGGAUAAUGUCUUCGGACCAAAGAUUUAUCGCCUUUGGAUGGGCCCGCGUUGGAUUAGCUAGUUGGUAGGGUAAAAGCCUACCAAGGCGACGAUCCAUAGCUGGUCUGGGAGGAUGAUCAGCCACACUGGGACCGAGACACGGCCCAGACUCCUACGGGAGGCAGCAGUGGGGAAUAUUGGACAAUGGGCGAAAGCCUGAUCCAGCAAUGCCGCGUGAGUGAUGAAGGCCUUAGGGUUGUAAAGCUCUUUUACCCGGGAUGAUAAUGACAGUACCGGGAGAAUAAGCUCCGGCUAACUCCGUG
rnacentral:rRNA from 1 species